rnacentral:lncRNA from 1 species
GCCCGAUUAGACCACGUAACUAUCACUUUCCAAUGCGCAUUUAAUGUUUGAAGUUUCACUUAUUCGUUUGAAAUUUUGAAUGAUGAAAACACAAUUUCUCUUCUGAAAAAAUUAUGACAUCCUAUGCCAAUAUUUAAUAUUUUGCAUUAAAAUUAUAAUUUUUUGUACAUGAUGUCAUAAUUUUUUCAUAAAAUAUCAUAAAGAAGAAAAUUUUUUAAUGACAAAAAUAUUUCUACCAAAAUUAUGACAUCCUAUAGAAAAAUUAUGAUAUUAUGUACAAAAAGUCAUAAUUUCAACGCAAGAUGUUAUAAUAUCUAUACAUGAUAUUAUAUUUUUUCUAGAAGAGAGUAUUUUCGUCAUUCAAAAUUUUAAAUAAAAAAAAUUACGGAUAUUAAAUACACAUUAGAAAGUGAUGGUUAUAUGGUCCAACCGAACAAGACGGUAUGCUCCACAUCAGAUUUUCUAUACCGCAGGCGGUGUACAAAGAAUUUUUCAUCGUUGUAGUUCUCUAAUCAUCUCAAUUCAUGCAGUGCCUUCUCCGCGUUCAGCUGGUGUUGGGCUUCCAAAAUCAGAAUCCAUCAACCAGCAGCACCUUGAACUUUCCAAACAAUCUCAAUAGAACCAGACACCCCUGGCACUUCCUAAUAUUGGUUCUAUGUCACCUUAUCUUCUCUUCUACCUCAAUGAAACUAGACCCUCUGCUCUUCUUCACACUAUGCACAUCCAUCAACUUCCUUACUCGUUCCACAUCGUUCCACCUAUG